GGGGCUGUAGCUCAGCUGGUAGAGCGCUGCCUUCGCAUGGCAGAGGCCAGGGGUUCGAGUCCCCUCAGCUCCA
rnacentral:tRNA from 2 species